rnacentral:rRNA from 1 species
UACGUAGGGUGCGAGCGUUAAUCGGAAUUACUGGGCGUAAAGCGUGCGCAGGCGGUUUGCUAAGACAGGUGUGAAAUCCCCGGGCUUAACCUGGGAAUUGCGUUGGAGACUGCAAGGCUGGAGUCUGGCAGAGGGGGGUAGAAUUCCACGUGUAGCAGUGAAAUGCGUAGAGAUGUGGAGGAACACCGAUGGCGAAGGCAGCCCCCUGGGUCAAGACUGACGCUCAUGCACGAAAGGCGUGGGAGCAAACAGGAUUAGAAACCC